rnacentral:tRNA from 1 species
AGUCCGGUAGCGCAGUGGUUGUCGCGUCCCCCUCGCGGGGGGGAGGACGCCGGUUCGAAUCCGGCCCGGCUCA